CAGCCGCCGCGGUAAUACGUAGGUGGCAAGCGUUGUCCGGAAUUAUUGGGCGUGAAGGGCUCGCAGGCGGUUUCUUAAGUCUGAUGUGAAAGCCCCCGGCUCAACCGGGGAGGGUCAUUGGAAACUGGGAAACUUGAGUGCAGAAGAGGAGAGUGGAAUUCCACGUGUAGCGGUGAAAUGCGUAGAGAUGUGGAGGAACACCAGUGGCGAAGGCGACUCUCUGGUCUGUAACUGACGCUGAGGAGCGAAAGCGUGGGGAGCGAACAGGAUUAGAUACCCCCGUAGUCCCUGUCUCUUAUAC
rnacentral:rRNA from 1 species